UCGAAAACACGGAGCAAAAAGCCGGUCCCGAGAGCGGAGAAAAACAUGGGAAAAGAAGCCCACAGAGUGAUUUAAAGAAGCUACGAGGAGAAAACUCCACGUUUUCACGGACAGUGUAAACAUGUAAACAGUUGGUCAGUGUAGCUCGGAGCCUCCUGUAUGAGGACACGGCACACUGCAGGGGCCACAGAACUGUUGGCCGACAAGAUGCUUGUGAUUCAUAAAAUGGGUCAAAUGCAGAUGACAAAGUAAAGCCAACACUGAGCUGGAGGUGCUGACCCAGACUCCUGCCAACGAUUAGGUUUUCACUCUGCAGGACAGAACUUUGAAUCAAUCAGACGCAACAACCAUUCUGCUCUUCCUCCUCCAGAAGACGAGAGAUACAUCAGACUGAGUGGUCCAAGUCCACUGUCCAUGUCUCCAAUGUCCAUGUCUCCAAUGUCCAUGUCUCCACUGUCCAUGUCUCC